CUUUUUUACCACACUCACCUUAUCAUUUUCACCAUACCUCAUGGAUUUCACUCUAAGCAUUAAUGAGCAUGGAAUUUAUUUCAUAGCCACUUCAUUUACUCCAUGCUCAUAUGCAACAUCUUCCCAAUCCAUUGGUUUUUCCAACAUCACCACAGUCGAGAUCUCCAACACCCUCAUCCUUUCUAUUUAUAAAAACUUUAAAAGGGCGGUUGUAACACCCUAAAAUUUAUAACUCCUGAACUAGGUGAAAAAAUGAUUUAAUUUGUUGUUUUUGUGCCCAUGAAACAUAGGAAAAUAAUAUUUUUCUUAAAAUAAAAUUAAUCAUAGGGUGUAGCAACAUUUUUGUGCACUCAUGCUUAUGCAUUAUAUUUAUUGUGCUGAGUGGUUUUACUAAAGUUCAAAAAAAUAAUUCCAAGUGAUUUUUAAAAAUGGUUUCCCAAAAUGGCUUUAAAGUAAUAAGAAAAGAAAAGAAAAAAAAAAUUAUAAAAAGGGCAAACCCACCCCUCCUUGUUUCUGGCCUGAAUGGCCCAUCAAUCCCUUUUCUUCCCUCGGCCCGUCUCUGUUUUCCCCCUCUCGGUCUGCUUCUCCUCCCCACUGCGCAACAGGCCGGCCCAAGUGCCGCAGCAGGCAGCCAGCCCACACCCUCCCCUUCCCCCUCUUUCACUGACGUGUCGGGACCACUCGUCAGUCGCCUACGCUUCUUCCACCUCGCACCGUAAGCGUGCAGGACUCCCGAUCGGGAGCCAAAUCCCGAUUCGCACGGGAUUUCCUGCCACCCGCGCUCAACCGAGCCUUUUUAAGCCUCUUGCCUCUCCCCAAUUCUCUCCUUUCCCUUCCGGUCCCCGCAAAGAAGCCCUAGCCGUCUCGAGCAUCGAAAACCGAAUCUUGUCGAUAACCUUUUCCGCCUCCGCCCGCAAACAGCACACCUCCGAGCCCUGUCGAUCCGCGCCAGAUGCCUGGGUGAGUUCGCUUUUUCCUCCUCUGCGCUCCUGUGGUCUUGAUUUUGUGUUUGACGCUCGGUUUCGCGAAAACAGCAGUCGCCGGCGAGCUUCGAGGUGGUUUUCUAUGGCGCCGCCGCGCCGGAGCCCCAUCCCAGCGGCCGGCCCCCGUCGUGACCUCCCUGACGAGCUGAGAGCCGUUAGAUGGAGAUCCAACGGUCAUGAAUAGAAGGUAACGGUUCGGUGUUAACUUUGCUAAAGAGCCCCUGCCCUUUUUCAGAGUAAACCCGCGGUCCAAAACGGGUUUUGAAAGUGCGUCUUCCUCUUUUGGAAACGUAAAAGCUCCCGGGUUAAAUCAAAAUACGUUUUCAGUAAUUACAAAAUUGCCACCAGAUUUGUUUAGCUCAUAAAAUCUUCGUUUGAACUCCGAUUUGACCCGUUCAAAUUGCGUUAGAUUCGUAUUCAUGAGCUCUACAUGUUAGUAAAAUUGUUUACUCAGUUUGAAACUUUUUAAUUUCGUGACCCUAUUUAAUUAAUUAUUUAUCUAUAGGAAAUCUUGGAAAAUUCAUAACUUCUACGUUUUAAUUCUGAUUUUCGUGAACUUUACCUUUGUGUGAUCGUAUCACUGCGUAGAAUAUUUUGAUAAAAUUUUAUAUUUGUUUUACCACUGUUUGGUGUAUUGUUCUAAUUAUAGCUUGUUUGCUUUGUGUAUGAUUGUCCCCAUUGGAUUGCAUGUUGUUGAUUGAUGAUCGAGUUUAGUCGGUGAGCUUUAUGUUGGUGAUCAAGGUCAAGCUUUUGACGACCAGCAGCAGGCUCAGGAGAGCUUUGAUCAAGGCAAGUAUAACUAGGGAUUAUCCUUGUUACCUAUAAACAAUUAAUACAAUAUUUAUCAUAUGCAUGUGUCCACCUUGAUGACCUUAGCAAAAUCAUAGAUGAUUGUUAUCCUGAAUUCCUUGUUACCUAAUUGGAUAUGCAUUUGGGUAGUUCUUGCUAGUGCUUAAUUAAUAAUCCAUGAUCUUGUAACAUGAAUAUUUGGAUAUACAAUAAACAAUAAAAUAAGCUUUCUAGCAACUUGAACAUAAAGGGUGGAAAGAACUCUGGCUUUUGACAGAUUGAUCUUGACCCUCCAUAAGGACUUAUCCCUUGGCAAAAGCUGGGACAACUCGUACGACCAUGAGAGCUACAUGGCUCUGGUUUUAGCUCAGUAUGAGGACCUUUUUCUAGCUUGUUAGCGGUUACCUUAAAUGGCGUAAGAAUGGCUAGACACGUUGGGUAUAGUGUGGCCUCUGUCCAUGUGUAUAGGCUGCGGGUUAUGUGCCAUGGAAGGGGGCUCUAUAUCUACCUGCCGAGUGAAUCUAAUGGCCCUAACUUGUUAGAUGAAACCUUUGAAAGGCUUCAUAGUGAUCCCUGCCGACCUCCCUUGGAAUGGGGUUAAGAGACUCAUCACCUCGUGCAAAAGGGUAAAUCACGACUCAUGGGUAAAGGAGAGGCCGAAAGGGGCCAGGCCCAGGGCGCCCGCCCUGAGGACCUGGGCGCCCGCCCCCUCCUGUACUCCGUUCGGGACUCUCUUCGCACAUGAUGUUCCACCGACCUAAUGGAUCAAAGAUAACGUAGUACCACCUCGCUUACCGACCCAAAAACGCAUAGAGGAGGAGGACUAUAUAAGGAGACCCCCUGGCCCCUGGAGGAGACAAGAAGUUAUCAUAGAGAUUUUAGGGGUGCCCUCGAAGGAAAACCUCUUCUCUAAUUAAUAUUUCUUUUUAGGCUUAGCAACCAAUGUAAGUAGAAAUAGAUCUUCUAGUCUCUACUAGAUUGAGAGAGAUAGAGUGGAGGUGUAGAUUGGAGGAAGGCCGGCCUGUCGGUGUCUACUCCAAGCUUGUACCUGCGGGAUCAAGUUCUCCUAACCCGAGGCUUGCUCCUAGCAUUCUUCAGUAUUUCGACUUCUAAAUUCUAGUAAGUUCUUGUUUUAUUGUUCUUUUGGUUUAUGAGUUUACUUUAAUCUCUUCGCGUAGAGUUUAGAGUAAUCAUUGCUGGCGUAAACGUGGUGUUUAGGCUGGGGUACUCAUAGAUAUUCCCUGACUAGCUAGACUGUGGUAGUAGUGAGGAACGUGACAAUUCCGAGUUACCUUUGCAGACCAUAUCUCGUUAGCAGGAAGGAUAGGGUUUAUAGGUGCGGGUUGAACAUCCUUUGUGGUGUCUAGAUUCCGUUAGCCUCCCCGAUAGAACAGUAGAUCAUCCUUACCAAGGUUAGAAGGAGAUUACGGUUGUAGUCUUCUCUAUUUAUCACUCACAUAGAGAACAUUCUUUGUUGCCUUAAGGGUUAGUAGUAAUAGACCGGUUAGUCAGAUGCACUCUUUCUCCUAGUGGUAAAAAAAUAAAUACGAUACUCUGGAUAAUUUCCCGGGUGAAGUGCUCACCAAUAUCCGUGCGCUUGCGGAUCAAUUCCUUAUUGUGUUCCCAAAUAUCAACAAGCAUUUCUGGCGCCGUUGCCUGGGAGAAAGACGGUUUGCUGAGAUAACCUUGAGUCUUACUACUAGCUUGUAUCUAUACUUUUAUCUUUUCUUAUCUUUUAUAUUCUUUAUUUAUUUUCUUUACUCUUACCUUAUGGAAAACCAAAAUUCUAAAUCGAUCCAUGAGUCUGCAAUCCCUUCACUAACUGACCUUUUACCAUGGGAGUUAUCACAGCCUAUCCAAACAUCCUCGUAUAAGUUAAGCUCUAGGUUGAUUGCCAUGAUUCAAAACCUAUCUUUUUCGGGAAAGGAAGACGAAAAGCCUUACCUUCAUAUUAGAGAUUUUGAGCAAACAUGUGAUUGUCUUCGUAUUGAAGGCAUUUCUGAUAAAACUUUACGUUGGAAGCUUUUUCCUUUUUCUUUAAGGGGAGAAGCUAGACAAUGGUACAGUCAGAAGGUAAGUCAACAACGAGGUGAAUGGGGAGUUUUACGAGCCAACUUUUGUCUAGAUUUCUAUUCCCUCGACCGUAUAGCCGAUCUUAGACUCGAAGUCCUAUCUUUUAAACAAAAAGAUAAUGAAACUUUGGGAAAAUCCUGGAAACGUUUUUCUGAUCUUUUAGAAUCUGGUCCAAACCUUAAUCUUGAAGACCCUGUUCUUUUAUUCCACUUUUUUCGAGGUCUUCAUAAAAAUCACAAACAAAUGCUACACACAAUGUCUAGAGGUUCUUUCUUUCGCAUCCCUACUGAUGAAGCUAGAGUGAUCCUAGAUAGAAUCCUAGAAGCUGAGAUGGAUAAUACCCAUCAUGAUGAAACCUACGAAGCCGAAGUAGACACUUUGCCAAAUUCUUCAUCUACUUUAGCUAUCCCAAGUUCUGAGCCACAAGAGGAAGAAAUUCCACCACCAGACUUCAUGCUGGAUAUAGAAUCCGAUCUUUUUGCCGAUUUUGGGAACAUUUCAAACUACCAUUCUAUUGACAGUUUAGCAUUUAUUUGCCAAGUGAAUAUCAAAUGAGAGAGCUUAUCUCAGUCAUGAGUAGCGAAUGGUUGGAGGAAUCAGAGCUUUCCUCUGAGGUGAUCCGUUUGGACACAACCUCUAUAACUAUACGCUGUGCUUAUAAUUCUGAUCGAUUUAAUGCUCUUUAUAAUCCUGUUGUGGGGAUCAACAUCAUGUCUGAAUCUUUUGCACUUAAACUAUUUAAGAAUCUUGUCUUAACCCCCACAACAAAGGUCAUAAAGGAAUCUUCGGGAUGUUUAGUCCCCAGUCUUGGAAUUAUUAAUGUCCUACCUCUUACGGUAGAAGGCUCCAUGGUUCAUUUGAACUUCUAUAUCUUUGAUACAUGGGACUUCGACCUGUUGAUAGGACAACCUUUUAGAAGACUCCUUUAUGAAGGUCAUACUGGAAAGCUACACAUUUCUUUUGGAAAAGCUUUUAAAUUCCCAAUAACAAUUUCACACUCCUUAAACAAUAAGGCCGAGUCAUAUCUUUUGCCUGAUCCUAUGGAGGAGGUAAAGGCUGCAUCUCUGGAGCUUUUAGAUGAACCAGACUUAGAAGACGAAACUCUUUUCUUCACAGAAGAAGAAGCCGAGCCUUCUGAACCUAAACCCUUAGAUGAGUUUGCAGAAGCACCUAGACCCCCCAUAGAGCUUAAAACUUUACCACCCAGUCUUACCUAUGCUUUCCUAAACAAUAAUCCAGAGUUUCCUGUGAUCAUUAGUGAUAAACUCACUCAGGAGCAAACUCUGCGAUUAAUGACCAUUCUUGAGAAAUAUCACUCAGUUUUCGGUUACUCACUCCAAGAUCUUAUAGGAAUCAGUCCUAUGAUUUGUACCCAUCGUAUUCCAACAGAUCCUUCUGUUUCUCCUUCUCAAGAACCCCAACGUAGACUUAAUAACACUAUGAGAGAGGUAGUUAAAAAGGAAGUUAUAAAGUUGCUGCAUGCAGAGAUUAUAUAUCCUGUGCCGCACAGUGAGUGGGUAAGCCCAGUACAAGUUGUGCCUAAAAAGGGAGGCAUGACCGUUAUUAUGAAUGAAAAGAACGAGCUAAUUCCGCAAUGCACCGUCACAGGAUGGCAGAUGUGCAUAGACUAUAGAAAACUAAACAAAGCCACGAGAAAGGAUCACUUUCCUUUACCUUUUAUAGAUGAGAUGCUAGAGCGGUUAGCAAACCAUUCGUUCUUCUGUUUCUUAGAUGGAUACUCAGGGUAUCAUCAGAUCCCGAUCCAUCCCGAUGAUCAAAGCAAAACCACUUUUACAUGCCCAUAUGGAACUUAUGCUUAUCGUAGAAUGUCUUUUGGGUUAUGUAAUGCACCAACUUCUUUUCAAAGAUGCAUGAUGUCUAUAUUUUCUGAUAUGAUUGAAGAGAAUAUGGAAGUUUUCAUGGAUGAUUUCUCUGUUUAUGGAAAAACUUUUGAUAGUUGUCUUGAAAACUUAGACAAGGUUUUGCAAAGAUGUGAAGAAAAGCACUUAGUCCUUAAUUGAGAAAAAUGUCAUUUUAUGGUUAGGGAAGGAAUAGUGCUGGGACACCUAGUGUCUGAAAGAGGUAUUGAGGUAGACAAAGCUAAAAUUGAAGUAAUUGAACAACUACCUCCACCUGUGAAUAUAAAAGGAAUUCGAAGCUUUCUUGGCCAUGCUGGUUUUUAUCGUAGAUUCAUAAAAGAUUUUUCAUUUAUUGCUAGACCACUUACUCUUUUGCUAGCGAAGGAUGCUCCUUUCGAAUUUGAUGAUGCAUGUCUAACAUCUUUCAAUUUAUUAAAGAAAGCACUCAUCUCUGCACCAAUCAUUCAACCCCCUGAUUGGUCGUUGCCUUUUGAAAUUAUGUGUGAUGCUAGUGAUUAUGCUGUGGGGGCAGUAUUGGGACAGACUAAAAAUAAGAAGCAUCAUGCAAUUGCUUAUGCCAGUAAAACUUUGAUAGGAGCUCAACUUAAUUAUGCAACCACUGAAAAAGAGCUUCUGGCUGUUGUCUUUGCCAUUGAUAAAUUUAGAUCUUAUUUAGUUGCAGCUAAAAUAAUUGUUUACACUGAUCAUGCUGCACUAAAAUAUUUGCUCACUAAAAAAGAUGCUAAACCUCGCCUGAUUAGAUGGAUCUUAUUACUUGAAGAAUUUGACUUAGAAAUAAAAGAUAAAAAGGGAGUAGAAAAUUCUGUUGCUGAUCACUUGUCUAGAAUGUAUUUUAAGAGUCCACAGGAAACCCCCAUCAAUGAGUCACUCCGGGAUGACAUGCUCUACGGGAUUAACAGGUCUGACCCCUGGUAUGCAGAUAUUGUUAAUUUUAUGGUUUCAGGGUAUGUACCACCAGGAGCAAACAAGAAGAAGCUUAUUCAAGAAAGUCGUUCACAUAUAUGGGAUGAGCCAUACCUCUCUCGAGUAUGCUCUGAUGGCUUACUCAGAAGAUGUGUGACCACUGAGGAAGGAUGGAAGAUCAUCGACAGAUGUCAUUCAUCACCAUAUGGAGGUCACUAUGGAGCAUUCCGUACACAUUCAGAGAUCUGGCAGUGUGGAUUCUACUGGCCUACAAUGUAUGAAGACACGAAGCAAUAUAUCAGAAGAUGUGGGCCAUGUCAAAGCCACGGAAACAUAAAUACAAGGGAUGCAAUGCCACUCACCAACAACCUUCAGAUUGAGCUCUUUGAUGUCUGGGGAAUAGACUACAUGGGUCCAUUUCCUCCAUCAAAGAAAUGUGAGUACAUCUUGGUGGCAGUUGACUAUGUCUCCAAGUGGGUAGAGGCACUACCUUGCAAGCAUGCCGACAACAUCAGUUCAAAGAGGAUGUUUGAAGAAAUUAUAUUUCCAAGAUUUGGAGUCCGCAGAGUAGUGAUAAGUGAUGGAGGAGCACACUUCAUCGACAAAUGCUUCAAGCAAUAUCUAUCAAAACAUGGAAUCCGUCACAACGUCGCUACCCCCUAUCAUCCUCAGACAAGUCGCCAAGCAGAGACUUCCAACAAACAAAUCAAGAAUAUUCUUCAGAAGAUAGUAAAUGAAAUGGGAACGGCAUGGAAAGACAAGUUACCCGAUGCACUCUGGGCAUACCGGACAGCAUACAAGACCCCAAUUGGAAUGUCUCCAUACCAAUUGGUGUACGGGAAGACUUGUCAUCUACCCGUUGAACAAGAGUUCAAAGCACACUGGGCCAUAAAGAGAUGGAAUAUGGACCUAGAUGUUGCUGGAGAUUAUAGAAGAAUGCAACUAUCAGAAUUAGAAGAAUGGCGAGAGAAGGCAUAUCACAACUGAAAGAUCUACAAGGAAAGAGUCAAAAGGUGGCAUGACAAGAGAAUCAAGAAGAAGGAGUUCACACCCGGAGAUAAGGUAUUACUUUUUAAUUCUAGGGUGAAGCUUUUCGGGCAUGGAAAACUCCGGAGCAAGUGGGAAGGACCAUUCAAGGUAAUUAAUUCAUCAUCCCACGGAGCUAUCACACUCCAAAAUGACGAAGGUACAUUAUUCAAGGUAAAUGGUCAACGUCUUAAAUUAUUUUUAGAGCCCAAUAAAGAAUUAGAAGAAAAAGACGUAGUCCAUUUUUACCUUCCCAUGGAGAACUAGAGCCCGACCUUUUUAGUCUGAUGUUUUUGGGUCAUACAUAUAUUUUGCAUCUAGAAACGCGCUCAAGAAAGUGGGCCCACAGAUGGGCCAGAGAGAGGGCGGGCGCCCAGAUCAGGUGGGCGGGCGCCCAGCUCCUGUUCCCCCUCGGUCCCGAUUUUCUCUGUUAUGGAAAAUGCACUUAUGGUAAUCCGAUUAAUCCCUCAGAUGGAAAGUUUCGCACGCACAUCGACGAGAGCAACCCAAACAACCCAUAGAGGCACUUUUUGACCCCUAUAUAAACAGACCCCUGUCCUCAGUUUUCAAACACCAAGCCACCAAGCCUUCUCUUCUUCAAUUAGAGCUUGAUUAGUUCCUUGCUACUCCAAUGGCCGAGAAGUACCACGAUGAUUGGGAAGUCGUCCCCUUCAACCUCAACAUGGAGCCUGUGGAAGACCCCGAUGCCCGUGCUCUCGUCCCGGCCAACACAGAGCGACGGCUAGAAGCCAUGCCAUUACGCCAACGCAGCUCCGCCCAAUCUUACCAUGCUCAACCAGUUCUCACCGCACCGCCACAACCCCUACUUCUCAAGGGAUCAUCAUCCAAGACGAAGACCACCAUCAAGGUGCCAACCGGCACAAGGAUCCUUCCACCUAGACCCAAUGAGAGGGUCGUUGGAGUCAAGACCAACCGGAGCGGCGAGAUCAGCAGCAUUCGCUACACUACGUAGGAGGAAAGGCCUUACUUCGAAUGGAUUAGAGCAGCCAAAGUCCGUUUCAUCCCUCCAAAGGCAGCCCCGAAGCACGCUCUCAAUGCUUUUGAGACACCUCGCAAGCGUCGCAAAACUAUAAUGGAUAUUGAUGAGGACGUUCUCAGACUAGACAGAGUUAUCAUAGACCUCCAGUCCUCGAUUAAUUCCCUCACUAGACAGCUCUCUAACCACAACACCGUUAUACUAGGCCUUAGGCAUGAUCUUGCCAGUGCCAACAAGAAGAUUAAGGAAUUAGAGCGCCGCUAAGUUAUCUAGAUUAGACAUUGAGGCAAUGCAUCUUAGUCAUGUAUCAUUAAAUUCGGUUUAGGUUUACUAUUAUUGUCAGUUUGUUACUAUUAUCAUCAGUUUGCUAUUAUCAUCAGUUUGCUACUAGUCUUUUGUAAUAAAUGCCUCAAGAUUGAUAAAGAGUAUUAUUAUUAUUAUUAUGUCUUGUGUGUCUCUACUUUAUUUUUGUGCAAGAAAGCAGAAAACAAGUAUGGGGGAGAUCCCUCAACAUGCCAAACACACUCUGACUACACCACUCCACGAUUUAGGUACAUACUCUGCACACUUUACUUUACACAUACACAUAUAUUGGAUUAUGCAGAAUACUGUUUCCGACAUGAUAAAUUAAAAAGAUUAAAAUGUUUCUAAUCAUGAUUAAUCUCAUUCUGUAAUAUUUCCUGAAACUUGCAACUAUUAUAAAAUCAUUUUUAAAACCCUGUGUUUCUUAAAGACAAUAUGGAAUGUGAGAUGGUAGAGUAUGAGUUUCUUAUUCUUGAUAUCAUUGUUGCUUGGAGAAUUCAUUUCAAAAUCUUUAAAAUUCUAGCUACCAUCCUCAAUGUUUUAUAUGCCUGAUAAAUCUGAAAAUAUUAAUUAUAGCUAUCUACUCUGUAUUGAGUUUGUUCAAAAUGAGUUAGACCCUUGUUGAGAGAUUUAUCAUGCUCCUAAGAUCAAGACAUUUAUUUAGAAAGAUUCACUCUUCUGAAGUAUUAUUGCAUUAGAGGCAUGGGCCAUGCAAAAAUAAAGAUAUUUCGAGGAAAUAAAAAGGAGCAAGUGCUCGACAACCUCGCAGAAAAAAAUGGACAAGUGUCCGGCAGUAGAAUUAGGGGUACCUCGGUAUCCACUUUAAAAAAAAGAGAAAAUGAUAGCCCAUGGUCCCUCUAAUAAGCAAUAUGCCAGCAAGAGUUGACAAAGAUUUUAAUUUCCAAAGUCAUUGAUCUAAGAGUAUGACAUUCCCCUCCUCGGAUCCCGAUUUGAUCAUGCAAUAAAUGCAAAGUAAGUAUGCUUGAGAAUUUUUGCAAAUUAAAACAGCCUCAGUGAGAUAUAUAUAAAAGAUAAUGAGUGAUCUGAGAGAACCUAUGAGGAUAAAAAGGUAUGCUAACUUUCUUUCAAAAAUAUACAAAAACUCCAAGUGACGAGAUUGAGAAGAAAGGAUCUUUACUCUUAACCAUAAACUUCCCUAACUAUGGUACAUAGUGGAUUUUUAACACCCUGCAAUUAUAAAGAGAAUGUUUUAAAAUGUUUACCCCAGAUAUUUUUCUUAACCAUCUUUUUCUCGAGGACGAGUAAAAGCCUAAGUAUGGGGGUAUUUGUUGACAGUUCUUAAGUAUCAAUUUUAAUUAUCAAAUAAACAAGAGAAAGGACCAAUAUGCAAACAACACCUAGAAUUAGGGUUUGAUCUGACAAAAUUCCAUGAGUUUUGUGGUUUAUCUAUUUCUACAGGGGGUUAUCAGGAAAUAAGGAAGAAAGGCCCACAUGUCGGGAUUACAUAGAGAUAUCAAUGUACCGCGUGAUUUUCUACCAUCUAGAAGACUCCAGAAGCCACUGUAAGAAAGCAGUGGCCGAAAGGGGCCAGGCCCAGGGCGCCCGCCCUGAGGACCUGGGUGCCCGCCCCCUCCUGUACUCCGUUGGGGACUCUCUUCGCACAUGAUGUUCCACCGACCUAAUGGAUCAAAGAUAACGUAGUACCACCUCGCUUACCGACCCAAAAACGCAUAGAGGAGGACUAUAUAAGGAGACCCCCCUAGCCCCUGGAGGAGACAAGAAGUUAUCAUAGAGAUUGAGGGGUGCCCUCGAAGGAAAACCUCUUCUCUAAUUAAUAUUUCUUUUUAGGCUUAGCAACCAAUGUAAGUAGAAAUAGAUCUUCUAGUUUCUACUAGAUUGAGAGAGAUAGAGUGGAGGUGUAGAUUGGAGGAAGGCCGGCCUGUCGGUGUCUACUCCAAGCUUGUACCUGCGGGAUUAAGUUCUCCUAACCCGAGGCUUGCUCCUAGGAUUCUUUAGUAUUUCGACUUCUAAAUUCUAGUAAGUUCUUGUUUUAUUGUUCUUUUGGUUUAUGAGUUUACUUUAAUCUCUUCGCGUAGAGUUUAGAGUAAUCAUUGCUGGCGUAAACGUGGUGUUUAGGCUGGGGUACUCAUAGAUAUUCCCUGACUAGCUAGACUGUGGUAGUAGUGAGGAACGUGACAAUUCUGAGUUACCUUUGAAGACCAUAUCUCGUUAGCAGGAAGGAUAGGGUUUAUAGGUGCGGGUUGAACAUCCUUUGUGGUGUCUAGAUUCCGUUAGCCUCUCCGAUAGAACAGUAGAUCAUCCUUACCAAGGUUAGAAGGAGAUUACGGUUGUAGUCUUCUCUAUUUAUCACUCACAUCGAGAACAUUCUUUGUUGCCUAAAGGGUUAGUAGUAAUAGACCGGUUAGUUAGAUGCACUCUUUCUUCUAGUGGUAAAAAAUAAAUACGAUACUCUGGAUAAUUUUCCGGGUGAAGUGCUCACCGAUAUCCAUGCGCUUGCGGAUCAAUUCCUUAUUGCAUUCCCAAAUAUCAACAUGGAGAGGAGUUAAUACCCGAAGUUUAGAGUCGUCUAUCCGCUGUUUGAUGCUAAAGGUUAUCUCUUUUAUAUUAAGUACGUUAUAUAAUUUAUGCAUUGUCUUUUGAUAUUACCCCUUAUUUGUAGCUAUAUGGGAGUUUUGACUUCUAAAACUCACAUAUGGUGCAUAUCUGGUUUUAUCCUUAAAAUCGGGUAUUACAAAGUGGUAUCAGAGCAAUGCUAACUGUAGGACGCAAGCCUAGUUAGAAAUUUGUCGUCUUAAGGUUUUUGAAUUGUCAUAAAAUCCUUGCUCUAUAAAUCUUGGUAUUUUCAUCCAUACUAUAUCCCUAUCCUUGCUAUUUGUCUCUACCUUGUUGCUUAUUUUAAAAGUACUUGUUCUCAUCUUCACUCCUUGAUUUGAUAAGCUUUUAGAAUCUUCUCUUACCACCUGCUUACGUAGUUGAAAAAGAAUUUUAGGAUCUUUACCCUUACUAUGAAGAGAACGAUAGUAUCGCAAGUUGCGUGAAGUGUGAACCUUCGAUGCUUAAUUGGUUUGUUAUUAUGUUUAUGCUUGAUUUGGAUCUUUGUAAUGAUUGCAAUGAUCUUGUGGAUUUUUUUCACAAUUUCAUUUAGUUUAUAGGCCCAAGGCAUAAGGAGUAAUGAAAUAAGUAGUUGGGUUUGGUUAUAUCCUGUUUCUAUCCUUUGCUGAUUUCUGGAGCAGUCUGCAAUGUUUUUAGUAUAUCUCAAGUUCUGAUCGUGCAAAGUUUGUCAACUUUUUCUGGGAAGAACUAGACUUCAAGAGCUUUCUCUGACCUCAAGAUUCACCCACAUAGCUAUUAUGGUUUGGAAGUUACAAAAAUCACAAGAUGAUACAACUGUGCUGUCAAGAAUCAGGACCAGUUUUGGUUGCCUACUAUUUGAGACAAAUAUAGCUAUAGAAUUUGGAAAAGCGUUCUAUAGAAAAGAUGUAGACAAUUUACUAUGAUUUCAAACAGUAUAAGCUGGAACUAAUUUGGAUUAGUAGAACCUGAGAUAUGACAUUUACACUUGGAUGUUUCUGUUCUGUAUCAAAGUCUGGACAGUUUUGGUAUUCCCUAUUUCCGGCCAAGUUAAAGACAGAAUCUGGGAAAACAUGGUAUACGAAAGUUGUAGAGGAUUUCCUAAGCUUUUCAAAAAUGUAGGGAUCAUCUCCAGAUGAGUUAAGUAGCUCGAGAUAUAAUUUUUGGAAUUUACUGCACCUUUGCUGAGACAUUAUCAGGAAGGAUAUUAUAUUGGUUGUUUUACCUAAGCUUAGAGACAGAAUCUAAGGAAUGCUUCUAUAUGAAAGUUGUAGGGAAUUUCAUACGUUUUCUAACGGUAUAAGCUACAACUCUAUUGGAUUAACAGAAUAAGAGUUAUACCUAUUUUACUACGUUGGUGUUUUCAUAUCGCGAGGAAAUUUCACGAUACUUGUUUGCUCCAUUGCACAUAAGUUCUUUGGGAUGUCAAAAGGUCUCAGUGCUAGUCAACUUGUCAGGAAAAUAUGCAAGCUACCUUCCUUUUGUCCCCUAGUUGACUUUUCUUAAGGGGGGUAGCCUAGUUAAAGGAGUUACAACGAGAAGGAUUGGCUAGUGUUGGAUCAUAUGUGAGGAUCACCAGCUCUUGGUAAAUUGGUUUUGAUUCAAGAUAUCAUCUCAUUUAGAGAAUAUUAAUGGAGAUAUAUGUCAUUGCUGAUACUCAUGGAUUGAGAGUUAUGCUAUGAGGAUCAGAUGACACCAAAGUCUACAAAGCUAUAUGUACAAAGUGAGAGUGAAGCAACUUAACCGUGAUAAAGGUACCGAUAAUUGGAACUUAGUGAUGAAACUAACCUUGGAUCAAGAGACUCGGUACAACGAAUGCAAAGGACUAUGAUGUGUAGCGUACAAAAAAGAUAGGAGAACUAGUCCCUAGUGUUCCCCAAUCAACCUCGUCUUAAGGGGGGUAGUACCUUGAUAUCACGGAUGAUGUAUUUCAAAACUAUCUUGAAAUGAUAAUUGUCUUCUGAGAUAUCCUAUGGUUAUGUGCACAUAUGUUACCCAGUGGAAAAUUUUCUUAGCCGCACCAUCAGGGAAAAGAAUUGAGUAUCAAGGUGGCCCACUCCUACCUGAGGAGGCAAAUCCAUGCCAAGUUAUCAUGACUUUGAGUCGUAAGUCAAAAGGUUGGAAUUCAAGAUAGAAUUUGAUCAAUUAUGAACAAUAAACAUCCUAUGGAAACUUUGUUCAUAAGUUAUGAUCCCGAGACACAAGUGUUUGCAGUUGGAAUGCAAGUGUGAAGUUGAAAGAGUAUUAAGAUUUUUUCCUGUUUCUCUUUUGGAAUCCGUGCCUCUUCCGAAUCUCGAGGACGAGAUUCAUUUUAAGGGGGGCUAGAUUUGUAACACCCUAAAAUUUAUAACUCCUGAACUAGGUGAAAAAAUGAUUUAAUUUGUUGUUUUUGUGCCCAUGAAACAUAGGAAAAUAAUAUUUUUCUUAAAAUAAAAUUAAUCAUAGGGUGUAGCAACAUUUUUGUGCACUCAUGCUUAUCCAUUAUAUUUAUUGUGCUGAGUGGUUUUACUAAAGUUCAAAAAAAUAAUUCCAAGUGAUUUUUAAAAAUGGUUUCCAAAAAUGGCUUUAAAGUAAUAAGAAAAGAAAAGAAAAAAAACUUAUAAAAAGGGCAAACCCACCCCUCCUUGUUUCUGGCCUGAAUGGCCCAUCAAUCCCUUUUCUUCCCUCGGCCCGUCUCUGUUUUCCCCCUCUCGGCCUGCUUCUCCUCCCCACUGCGCAACAGGCCGGCCCAAAUGCCGCAGUAGGCAGCCAGCUCGCACCCUCCCCUUCCCCCUCUUUCACUGACGUGUCGGGACCACUCAUCAGUCGCCUGCGCUUCUUCCACCUCGCGCCAUAAGCGUGCAGGACUCCCGACCGGGAGCCAAAUCCCGAUUCGCACGGGAUUUACUACCACCCGCGCUCAACCGAGCCUUUUUAAGCCUCUCGCCUCUCCCCAAUUCUCUCCUUUCCCUUCCGGUCCCCGCAAAGAAGCCCUAGCCAUCUCGAGCAUCGAAAACCGAAUCUUGUCGAUAACCUUUUCCGCCUCCGCCCGCAAACAGCACACCUCCGAGCCCUAUCGAUCCGCGCCGGACGCCUGGGUGAGUUCGCUUUUUCCUCCUCUGCGCUCCUAUGGUCUUGAUUUUGUGUUUGACGCUC
rnacentral:lncRNA from 1 species